rnacentral:rRNA from 1 species
CCUACGGGGGGCAGCAGUGGGGAAUAUUGCACAAUGGGCGCAAGCCUGAUGCAGCCAUGCCGCGUGUGUGCAGAAGGCCUUCGGGUUGUAAAGCACUUUCAGCGGGGAGGAAGGCGUUAAGGUUAAUAACCUUGGCGAUUGACGUUACCCGCAGAAGAAGCACCGGCUAACUCCGUGCCAGCAGCCGCGGUAAUACGGAGGGUGCAAGCGUUAAUCGGAAUUACUGGGCGUAAAGCGCACGCAGGCGGUCUGUCAAGUCGGAUGUGAAAUCCCCGGGCUCAACCUGGGAACUGCAUUCGAAACUGGCAGGCUAGAGUCUUGUAGAGGGGGGUAGAAUUCCAGGUGUAGCGGUGAAAUGCGUAGAGAUCUGGAGGAAUACCGGUGGCGAAGGCGGCCCCCUGGACAAAGACUGACGCUCAGGUGCGAAAGCGUGGGGAGCAAACAGGAUUAGAUACCCUAGUAGUC